CUCAGGACGAACGCUGGCGGCGUGCCUAACACAUGCAAGUCGAGCGGAGAUUCAAGGAGCAGCUUGCUGCACUUUGAAUCUUAGCGGCGGACGGGUGAGUAACGCGUGGGUAAUCUGCCUCAAACAGGGGGAUAACACAGGGAAACUUGUGCUAAUACCGCAUAAGACCCCAUCAUGGCAUCAUGAAGAGGUCAAAGGAAGAAAUUCCGGUUUGAGAUGAGCCCGCGUCUGAUUAGCUAGUUGGUGAGGUAACAGCUCACCAAGGCGACGAUCAGUAGCCGAACUGAGAGGUUGAUCGGCCACAUUGGGACUGAGACACGGCCCAGACUCCUACGGGAGGCAGCAGUGGGGAAUAUUGCACAAUGGGGGGAACCCUGAUGCAGCGACGCCGCGUGAAGGAAGAAGGCCUUCGGGUUGUAACUUCUUUGAUUGGGGACGAAUAA
rnacentral:rRNA from 1 species